GAAAGUAAGCAAGGGCAGACGGUGGAUGCCUUGGCUCUCGGAGGCGACGAAGGACGUGAUAAGCUGCGAAAAGCCCGGGGGAGGCGCAAAUAGCCCUUGAUCCCGGGAUAUCCGAAUGGGGCAACCCGGCAGGUUGAAGGCCUGUCAUCCCGAAAGGGAGGCGAACGUGGGGAACUGAAACAUCUAAGUACCCAUAGGAGGAGAAAAUAAACAAUGAUUCCGUAAGUAGUGGCGAGCGAACACGGAAGAGCCCAAACCCAUGUCGUCUAGGCGACACGGGGGUUGUAGGACCACGACGUGGCAAGAUAGAGUCAAGUGGAACGCCUUGGAAAGGGCGACCGUAGAGGGUGAUAGUCCCGUACACGACUGACGAUUGAAGCCUAGUGGUAUCCUGAGUAGCGCGGGGCACGAGAAAUCUUGCGUGAAUUAGCGGGGCCCAUCCCGUAAGGCUAAAUACUCCCGAGAGACCGAUAGCGAACCAGUACCGUGAGGGAAAGGUGAAAAGAACCCCGAGCAGGGGAGUGAAAUAGACCCUGAACCCGUCUGCCUACAAGCGGUCGGAGCGUCGUAAUGACGUGACGGCGUGCCUUUUGCAUAAUGAACCUACGAGUUACCUUCCCCGGCAAGGUUAAGUACCUAAGGUACGGAGCCGAAGCGAAAGCGAGUCUGAACAGGGCGCCAAGUCGGGGGGGGUAGACGCGAAACCGAGUGAUCUACCCUUGGCCAGGUUGAAGGUUGGGUAACACCAACUGGAGGACCGGAUGGGUAAGCGUUGAAAAGCUUUCCAAUGAGCUGAGGGUAGGGGUGAAAGGCUAAUCAAACUCGGAGAUAGCUCGUACUCCCCGAAAUGCAUUUAGGUGCAGCCUCUUUAUAGUAUAUCGUGAGGUAGAGCGACUGAUUGGAUGCGAGGGCUUCACCGCCUAUCAAGUCCAGAUAAACUCCGAAUGCGCGAUAUAUAUUUAAAGGGAGUGAGGGCGCGGGUGCUAAGGUCCGUGUCCGAGAGGAGAAGAAUCCAGACCACCGGCUAAGGCCCCCAAAUGAUCGUUAAGUUGAACUAACGAGGUCGGAUCGCAGAGACAGCUAGGAUGUUGGCUUGGAAGCAGCCAUUCAUUUAAAGAGUGCGUAACAGCUCACUAGUCGAGCGAUCUGGCGUGGAUAAUAAUCGGGCAUAAACGAUCUGCCGAAGCCGUGGAUGUCGCAAGACAUGGUAGGGGAGCAUUCCAUGCGGCGUCGAAGAUGAGGGAUGACCCUUGUUGGAGCGCAUGGAAAAGCAAAUGUAGGUAUGAGUAACGAUAAGGGGGGCGAGAAACCCCCCCGCCGAAAGACCAAGGUUUCCUGAUCAACGCUAAUCGGAUCAGGGUGAGUCGGGACCUAAGGCAAAGCCGAACGGCGCCGCCGAUGGAAGAAUGGGUUAAUAUUCCCAUACUGCCUCAUGGAGUGACGUGGAGACGGAGAAGUGACAGUCCUGCCGGCUGACGGAAUAGCCGGUUGAAGGGUGUAGAUAUUGAUUCCCGUAGGCAAAUCCGCGGGGAGAGUCGAACCUGAGAGUAUACGGAGCGCUUGCGCGACGUAAUAUGGACGUAACCAUGCUCCCGAGAAAAUCCGCUAAACUUAUCCAUGCGGCACCCGUACCGUAAACGGACACACGUGGUCGGGUUGAGAAUACUGAGGCGCUCGAGUGAUUCACGGUUAAGGAACUAGGCAAAUUGACCCUGUAACUUCGGGAUAAAGGGUCCUCGUCGUAAGGCGAGGCGCAGAGAAUAGGUCCAGGCAACUGUUUAACAAAAACACAUGGCUGUGCUAAAUGGAAACAUGAUGUAUACAGCCUGACACCUGCCCGGUGCCGGAAGGUUAAGAGGAGAUGUCAUCCGCGAGGAGAAGCGUUGAAUUGAAGCCCCGGUAAACGGCGGCCGUAACUAUAACGGUCCUAAGGUAGCGAAAUUCCUUGUCGGGUAAGUUC
rnacentral:rRNA from 1 species